rnacentral:misc_RNA from 1 species
AUGAAUUCCUCUUUUUCUUUCAACAUACUUGUUGCCUGAAUAAGUUGCUGUUCUUGACUGUUCAUGAGCACCCUCAGCUCAGCUAUUUCCUGAUUUAAUUCAUCUAAUGUCUUUCUUGAAUCCAGAAGUUCCUUGUUUUUUUCUUCCAACAUCAGCUGAAGAGAAGCGCACUGAGACUUUAAGUGCUGAAUCUCUAAUCUAGCAUCUACUAGCUCUGACUCUGUAACCUGAAGAAGAUUCUGUGUUUCUCCGAACUCUGCACUCUUACGGUCAAGCUCCUCCUGGAGAGCAGAUUUUUCAUUUAUAGCUACAUACAGAGAAGACUUCUUAAUAUUAUUUUCAGUCUGCAACUCCUCAACAAGCUCCUUUUCCAUGGAUAAAUCCCUUUCAAGUUCUUUGUUUCGAGCUUCAGCAACCGUAAGUUGCAUUUUCUCAUUCUCUACCUCAUUUUGAGCUUCUUUCAAACUUGUCAUGUAAGACAUAACACUUUUUCUCUGCUCUUCAAGUUCUUCGAGACGAUUUUCUAAUAGAUUUUCCUGCUCUUCCAUUUUCUUUCUAGAGGAUGUCAAAGCUCUCUGAGAUGAGACUAACUCAGACCUUACAUCGGCAAGUAGCUUCUUGACUCUUCUAAAAUCCUCAAGGGACCGAUUUGCUCCUCCACCAUAUUUAGAUGUUUCCUCUUCCAAUUUUUUCAUUUCUUGCUUUGCUAUGAGCCAAUCCAUUGCCUGCUUCUCCAAAUUGGAUUUGGAAACUUUAAGUUUCUCAUCUUCGGUUUUCUGCAUCGUCAAGAAGACUUGUAGCUCUUUCUCUUUCUCUUGAAUUUCUCUUCGGAGAUUUUGUAGUUCAACCUCCUGUCUUUGAACUACUUCAUUUGCUGUAUCGAGUAGUUCACCCUUGGUUCUGAGUUGUGAUUCGGUUUUAG